AUAAGAAGCAUGGCACCAGCAACUGCUUGUGGUGAGGCCUCAGGAAGCUUACAAUCAUAGAGGAAGGCAAGAGGAGCUGGCUUGUCACAUGGCCACUCUUCUGUAGGGCUGCUGCAGUUUGCUGGGGGAUCACUCCAGGCCCUAGUUGCCUAGGUUUUCCCCUUACCUGGAUGUAUCACCAGUGAAGUCUGCAAAACAGCAAAGAUGGCAGCCUGCCCCUUCCUCUAGGAGCUCUGUCCCAGGAGUGGAAUGUGGAGGUUUGAGAAGCAUCUACAGUUUGAAGCACAAUAUCAGCAAUAUUAUCAGCAGAAAAACAUCAACAGGAUUGUGAGAUGAAGUAUUUGUCUGCAAUCUGUAAUGCCUCAAGCCUUGCUACUCUUUCAAGCGUAGCCCUUGGACUAGCAGCACUGAUGUUACCAGAAGUUUUGAGAAAUUCAGCAUCCCCAGUUCUACCUCAGACCUACCAUAUUAGAAUUUGCAUCUUUAAUAAGAUUCCCAGGAAACAUAAUCACUGGUGCACCAUACGUCCCUCCUUGAGUGACCUUGAUGACACAGUGCAGAAACAUCUGUCAUUUGUAGCCGGAUCUGUUUGCUAUUGUAAUUUUACAAACUGCCAAUAAGCCUCGAGGGCCUGGAACCAGAGCUGUCUUGAGAUGAAUGUGACCUAUGAGAAGCAGGCUUUUCCAGUGUUGGUACUUCCUAAAGGAGAUCCAAGCAUGUGACAGGAGAGACAGUUGUUCUAGGGAAGUCAGAUCCAAAUUCGUGUCACCUCCUGACCUGGAAAGUAAUCUGGGCCUCACUGAAGUCAAGGUUUUGUCUGGUAGUGCUCGGUAUACUUCCUGCUGCACAUUUUGGUCAAUCUCUCAGAAACAGGUAAAGUUCCAUCUCUUGGCGUGACCGCGUGACAGUCCAUAGGUCUUAUACCUCUCAGAGGGCUGCAUACAUGGUAGAAAUAGUUGUUCUCUGAAUGUUAGGUUCCAAAAGUGAGACUGUGACCGAUGGACUUUUCUCACAAAGCCCACCUGUAAACUAGGAACACUCGGAAAUCCUCGGUCCAUAUACAAACAGGCAGGGAUUCUUGUUGCAUGUGUGCACCCUGUGGUAAUUCUCAAAGAGAAGGAGAGAGCUUGGGGAAAUCGCGAGACUGUUGCUCAUGUAAUCUAGAACAAAAAAAUCCCACUCUUUGGUUUUAGUGAUGGAGAAAAUUUAUCUAACAAAACGGUUAAAAAACAGCUACCUGGGUCACAGCGGGGUUACCCAGUUGUAUCUCAAAGAGACAACCAGGGCAACACUUGUUCACAUGCAAAGAAGGAUACUAAGUGUUCCAAAUGCCUGGCAGGCAAACGGGUCAAAGGUGAACCUAUGGCUUCGUCCUAGCCAAGCGGCGCCACAUCUGGCUUUCAGGAGAGGCAUGUAGCAGGGAAGGGGAGCAAAUUCCUCCUAAAUCUGGACUGUGACUUACUUAGUUUUGUGGCCACUUCCCUGCUCUUUUGCCUUGUGGAGGGAUGACUGAACGCAGAUUUCCAACCCACAGGAGCAGAGCCACUUAGGAAGCAGGCAAGAGGUGUUUAAAAACUCCCGGGGGCAUUGAAAUCCAAGAAAACAGAGCCAUUAUUUCAUUUGCAGAAGUAAAUUAAGCUGAUUGACUCUGACCAUCACCAAAUCAAGUCAGAAAGUUCCUGGCACAUCAAAGAUCUCUUCUUCAUUUUGCACAGCUUGGCAAGGGCAGUUUUCCAGCCUCUUAUAUCCCUGGUGAAUGUCAGGCCUGCAUUUCCAUCAACUUUUAUUUCCAAAUAUACGUUUCAGCAAUUUUUCAGGAGCUGGGGUGGGGGGGGUUUGAGAAAGGAGCGGGCCAGGCUAUGUUACAGUUCAGGAAGGGUAUAAAAGGACAUUAAUCAUUCCUGUGGAAACCUUCCCGUCAGCAAGUCAAACUGCUGAUAUUAAUGAGCAUGUUUCAUAUUUCAUCGAAUCUCUCCUGGUUUCAGCUGCUCCUUAUGACUCAGCUGGCAAAACAGAAAGCAGUUGCCUAAGUAUUGUAUGAAAGUCCUACAGAUAGGUAGUAAAGGGGCAUUUGAGAGCUGAGCCACAUCCCCCCAGGCUCUCAGCACUGCACCAGUGCCAACUCCAAGCCCAUCUAUUAUCCAUUUAACUACUGCUGAGGACAGAGGAUGAGGUGCACAGGGGGACUCAUAGCCUCUUGAAGCAUAAGGAAGGUGGCAGAGGCUUUAGGUGUCACUCUGGGCCACACAAGGGACCCAAAUGCAGAGCAUGAGGCUACUGUCAGAAACAGAGAUUUAUUCCAACUUUAGUGAGACGCAAGCCUUUGUAGAAAAGAGGAAGAUAAGAUUUCCCCAACUGAACUGGAGUACUGAUUAGCAUGGGUAUUUAAGGUUAGACUUGGAGGGUGGGCAGAACCCAGUAAUCGUUGUUUCCUCAGCCCUUCGAUUGAAAAGACAUUGCUUUCUACAAACAACUCAGAGUCAGUUGAUUACUGUAGGAUGGGGGGCGUCUAUGGCUUGCCAGGGCCUGGGAAGCUCUUGCUCCCUGAACAGACCCCGUUAGGGACUUGGGAAACCUGGCUGGCCAUUAGUGGGGUGAGGAAUAAACAAAGCUGAGAGAGGUGGCAUAGUCUGAGGAUAUUUUCAGCAAGGUGGAGAGGCCUGAUAAGCCUGUGCCUAGAGGGAAGAACAGCUCCUUGGCUGGCAUCUCUCCCUGCACAGUGCUACUGAAGGGCUGGCCACUGACUUCGCUAACAGGGAGGGCUCCUCCUAGGGUGGGGAGGUCUGAGCCAGUGUC
rnacentral:lncRNA from 1 species